GCUUGGUGAUGUCAAAUUUCGACAAACGGGAACGGGAAGGAAAAAGAAGAAGUUUUGUUUCGAUCGUGCGCUAGGAACUUGUUUUUAUUAAAUCUGUGUUUCGUUUGUAAGAAAUAGUUCCAGUGCAAGUGAAAAAAACUUGACCGUUCGUGCCUCUCCGGAGGAAUAUAGUCAAACGGUCAGACUCAGCUUUUUUGCUGCUGCGUUUGCGGGUUUUUGUCGUGUUCGCGUAGUGUUUGUUUUGUGAUGCUGAUUCACUUGCACGUAGGAAAUCCAGCGAUCAAAUUGGACACAAAAUCCAGUCGGAGCACGGCAUCGGAGCUGGUAUCGGCUGCAUGGUCAUGUCCUUCGCUAUUGGACCUAUCCUGAUGAUGAAAAAUGCUAGCCUCCGAUCGGGAGCAUGAAUUUGCAGAAGUGCUGCACCCAGACUGGUAUGCUCUCGAUUGAAGAAAUUAUUAUUACAAUUUCGACGUCCAGAACCGCCGGAUGAUGUUGAAUCGCUGGUGCUGGCAAAGUAAGGCAAUACUGCUAUUCAGCGGUAUUUGCUGUCAGCUGACUGUUGCGACGAGUGGUGUGCUAAUUUUAAUAUAACACUCGCUUUGCUUGAAGCCUGGGAACAGACCGAUAGCAGAAGUAUGAGUUUCUAAAUACGUUCAAUCUGCUUAAUAUCGGUUUUCUGUACAGUUGCCAUUGUUAGUUGUAUUAUUAGUUAGUUAGUGAGUUAGUAGUAGUAUUAUUAGUUAGUGAGUUAGUAGUAGUAUUAUUAGUUAGUUAUUUAUUAAAAUUAUGAAUUCGAAUGUCCCAAGCAGAUGAAGAUUAGUGUCUUUUUUUUCAAAUAGGAUUUUAUGUGAUGAAUUAAUCAUUAACUAGGUAAUAUUAAUUUAGAAUUUAUAUUGUCUGUUUUGCCAUAAACGGAGACAUCAACACUA